GGUUUUCUGAGGAUUCUCUUCAGCGGGAUUUUCAUCCAUCUGCCACUUUGUGUUGAUGUCCAUCCACGUCCACAUCUCCAUCACACUGGGAUCAGCCAUCACCUCGGACCGUCUCGCCAGACAUUCAUUAUAAGAGGGCGGGAGGAAGAAUCUACCGUGACCCCCAGCUUCCACAGCGACCCAUCCAGCCGUGACCCCUCAAUGAAACACCGAGCUUCCUGGAAAACACUUGCUGUCUACUCUGGAAAUGAGAGCACAUUUAUCUUCUAGUCAGAGAUCUUCUCAGUUCAAAACAAAACAUAUUGAUGACACUUGUCCACGGAGCAGGACGCGACCUUCCAGGCCAGCCAAGGAGAUAAACAGAGACAAAAACUGAAGAGAUCGGAAAUGUGUCUCAUGUUUGUUCCCCAGAUUAAUAUGUGUGGCUUGUCACUUGAUGCUGCAUGUUUCAGAAGUUACAAACGUUGUAUAAGUAAG
ensembl:lncRNA